UCUUGAUUGCUAAUGUUUUACUUACCUAUGGCAAGGCCAAUAACAAAGUGAGGCACGACUAGUUGUCCUAAAGCAGACACGUGAGCUAUCUGUGAAAUGGAGCAGUUGUAGCAUUGUCAGUAUCCGAAAAUCUGAACGGUACUGAUACAAUAGUAUGCGGUAACAGAAAAGAUCGUUUUUGGAAUCACAACUUCGAGAAAUUUUGAGACGUGGUGGCCCGCUGUACCAUUCAAUGGCGAUCUCAUUAGGAAAGUGCAUCGUGUCCGCUAUUUCGCCGCUUACCGUCACAACAUCACCGCACUUAUAUAAUAAAUAAUAAAAAAAAAAGGCAACACCUAGCCUUUGCAAGGAAAAAAUGGACCAUAAUGUCCGAGAUAGUACCGCGUGCGUGCCACCGUUGAACCGAUUUGUAUUUGAAAAAAGCCAAAUGCUUACUUCGCACGCAAUUCAUCCGUAAAACAGCUCCGGCGUCUGGAGUCUCAUGUACUAUGGAGUCCGUGAAAUGUGCGUUCGGCUUGGUAUUGAAGCAAUCUCUGCAUGACUCUCCAGCAUCGUAAGCAUGUAGUUUCUUUCAUGGAAGACAUCUCUCCUUUUCAAGAGUAAACAAGCAACAACAAAGGUUCGCAAAUCGGAGCUGGACAUGUCCUUGCCGAAGCUUUCGUCGUUGACAUCGAACGUGUACCUAGGCAGAAUAAUGUGACUCCACUUAUGCUAUCCGCAAUAUCUAGUUGUGAUCGAAAUGCAUAACGGAUGCUUCGAUGAAAAUAUAUCAUGGCAUCAAGUACACGGGCGAAGAUUGAUGCUUACUACGAAAAAAAUAGGCCGAACGAACUUGCAUAAAACACGAAUCUCACCGCUGUUGUUCCUCUUGUUACCGAUUCCGUCCCGUAAAACAAUUUCUUAAGUAAUGCUGGAUUGGACCCAACAGAACGUGGCCUUAUGAAUCUGGGGCUCGGCCAUGACGGAUGGACUUUA
rnacentral:lncRNA from 1 species